rnacentral:rRNA from 1 species
UGGGGAAUAUUGGACAAUGGGCGAAAGCCUGAUCCAGCCAUGCCGCGUGUGUGAAGAAGGUCUUCGGAUUGUAAAGCACUUUAAGUUGGGAGGAAGGGCAGUAAGCGAAUACCUUGCUGUUUUGACGUUACCGACAGAAUAAGCACCGGCUAACUCUGUGCCAGCAGCCGCGGUAAUAUAGAGGGUGCGAGCGUUAAUCGGAUUUACUGGGCGUAAAGCGUGCGUAGGCGGCUAAUUGAGUCGGAUGUGAAAUCCCCGGGCUUAACUUGGGAAUUGCAUUCGAUACUGGUUAGCUAGAGUGUGGGAGAGGAUGGUAGAAUUCCAGGUGUAGCGGUGAAAUGCGUAGAGAUCUGGAGGAAUACCGGUGGCGAAGGCAGCCAUCUGGCCUAACACUGACGCUGAGGUACGAAAGCAUUGGGAGCAAACAGG